GACGAACGCUGGCGGCGUGCUUAACACAUGCAAGUCGAACGGAAAGGCCCCUUUGGGGGUACUCGAGUGGCGAACGGGUGAGUAACACGUGAGUAACCUGCCCUUGACUUCGGGAUAACUUCAGGAAACUGGGGCUAAUACCGGAUAGGAAUCCUUGCUGCAUGGUGGGGGUUGGAAAGCUUCGGCGGUUUUGGAUGGACUCGCGGCUUAUCAGCUUGUUGGUGGGGUAGUGGCUUACCAAGGCUUUGACGGGUAGCCGGCCUGAGAGGGCGACCGGCCACAUUGGGACUGAGAUACGGCCCAGACUCCUACGGGAGGCAGCAGUGGUGAAUAUUGCACAAUGGGCGGAAGCCUGAUGCAGCAACGCCGCGUGCGGGAUGACGGCCUUCGGGUUGUAAACCGCUUUCAGCAGGGGCGAAGCUUGUGGUGACGGUACCUGCAGAAGAAGCACCGGCUAACUACGUG
rnacentral:rRNA from 1 species